ACAACAACAAAAUUCACUAAAAAUAAUAAAAGUUAAAACUUUGAUGGAAAUAAAUAAAGAAAAAUAACCGCGACGCCGAUUUGGCAUUUAUCCAAAUUGAAAACCUCAACAGAUCUACGAUUGAGACAAUUGGUCAAAGUAAAUAAAAUAAAUAAAUAAAUUCGCGGAAAGUAAUUACAGCAUUUAUGCAUUCAAGUUGUGCACAUAUGGCUAAUGUUAAUUACCAAUGCGUGAAGGCAUAUAUUUUGUGUGAGCAAUAAACUUUAACGUUCGACAGUACCGGUUCACUUUAUUCUACUUAUUUUUCCUGUGCAAUUAUAGUAAACUUUCCGUGGUCUUUCCUUGAUUUACUAUUUCCUAAACGAAAUCACUACGCCGUUCGUCGACAUCCAUAUACAUAUAUAACUACUCAUCCGUUUCGUAUGCAUUAAAUAAGAGUAAAAUGUUAAAUGAGUGUUGACGUGUUUUAAUCAAGAAAUUCAAUUAAAUCAAAAAGAAAAAGAAAACUUUUCGUAACGGUUCUUCAAAGUAUGCCUCCAUACUACUACCACUACCAUCAGUAUACUAUGCACAACGGCAACAUAAGCGCGAAAAUAGAAGCAAAAGAAAAACUUUUUCCGAAAGAUUCCAACAUUUACUAUAACGGAUUAUGUUCACUCCGGUUGAUCAUACGGUUAACUUAUGGACAUUAGUCGUAGCUGACUUGCAGAAUAACAUUCACUGUGUAGGAUGAUAAAGUAUUAUGGAAAUGGAAGUGAUGAUGGAAGAAGUUUUUAUGGUAAGAGUGGUGAAAUUACACGAAAUAAAAAAUGGAAUUUCUGUCCGAUUAUUUUCAAGCCAUCCGUAUACAACGGGAGACUACACAUCGUUA